AAAUAAAUUUCCUUUUAACAGGAGGAAUGCCUUUAGUUACGCUCCUAAUUUUAAGAGGCUCUACUGAGUCUCUUUUUACUGGCUAAAUCACAACAAGACUAGUGAGGUCAUAGGCAGUGGAUUAAUUACAGCAAGGAGGGCGAGACAAAUCUAACCCUCUUUGACAAACACGGCUUAGCUACUUUAAGUGAACAAUUUUCUACCGCAAACAUUUUCACACAUGUUGUCUCUCACAGCAAACUGCAGUGGUCUCUUGGUUACGAGCUGGCAGUUCUUAGAACUCUUAAACUAUUCAUAUUAUAGGAAAGUUCCUCCCUAUAGUCCCCUCCCCCCAACCCCAUCAUCAACAGACUUAGAUGGAAACUCAACUGUAUGCUGACAAGAAGAUCCUUCCAGGCAGAAAGGAAGACGUCUGAUAGAACAGCCUAACCCUUCCCUGGCUGCUUCCUUCAUGAACGCUGCCUUCCUGAAUAGAUGUAUAGUUCUUUUAUGGAGGGAGACUUUCACAGCCAUUUCUGUGGUCUGUGCUUUCUAUGAGCCACCAACUCAAACCAUGCCAAAGAAAUACGUUUGAAGAGAGACAUGAUUCAACAUGAUUGACAUCUUCCACAUGAUUAAGAUUGUGGACUUGGCUUAUGGCCUGGACUGGAAGAUCCAGCAUGAAAAGGCUUCCCCAUUCAAAAAGACAUUAAGGAUGUGUUUCACACCCUAUUUAGCUUCCCAGGCUCACCAGCUUCACACCUGAGAAUGAGCCUUGAGAAGUUUUUUAUUUCAAUGAACCUUCAGAGGAUAGAUCUGUGAACUUCACUUCCAUAUACUAAAAAGGAAAAAUAAAACAAACAAAACAAAACAUUAAAAGCAAAGCAGCCAACCUCAAGUGAUGGAGCAGGCAGUUCACCGACUAGGAGAAAAUAUUUGCAGAAGACAUCUGAUGAAGAACAGUUGCUAACAUAUACAAAGAGCUCUUAAAAUCCAACAAUCAAGAAAUGAACAGAUUAAAAAUAGAUUAGGGGGGCUGGAGAGAUGGCUCAACAUGUAAGAGCACCAACUGCUCUUCUGAAGGUCCUGAGUUCAAAUCCCAGCAACCACAUGGUGGCUCACAACCA